rfam:Dipodomys ordii contig_12818, whole genome shotgun sequence.
GGGAAGGUAGCUCAGUGGUAGAGCACUUGCCUUGCAUGCAUGGGGCCCUGGGUUCUAUUCCUCACCGCCACA